UUUAUGGAGAGUUUGAUCCUGGCUCAGGAUGAACGCUGGCGGCGUGCCUAAUACAUGCAAGUCGAGCGAACAGAUAAGGAGCUUGCUCCUUUGACGUUAGCGGCGGACGGGUGAGUAACACGUGGG
rnacentral:rRNA from 2 species